AUCGGGCCCAUACCCCGAAAAUGAUGGUUUAACCCCUUCCCCUGCUA
rnacentral:tRNA from 2 species